UACGUAGGGUGCAAGCGUUAAUCGGAAUUACUGGGCGUAAAGCGUGCGCAGGCGGUUUUGUAAGUCUGUUGUGAAAUCCCCGGGCUCAACCUGGGAAUGGCAAUGGAGACUGCAAGGCUAGAGUUUGGCAGAGGGGGGUGGAAUUCCACGUGUAGCAGUGAAAUGCGUAGAGAUGUGGAGGAACACCGAUGGCGAAGGCAGCCCCCUGGGGUAACACUGACGCUCAUGCACGAAAGCGUGGGGAGCAAACAGG
rnacentral:rRNA from 1 species